CCUACGGGAGGCAGCAGUGGGGAAUAUUGGGCAAUGGGCGAAAGCCUGACCCAGCAACGUCGCGUGAAGGAAGAAGGCUUUCGGGUUGUAAACUUCUUUUAUCAGGGACGAAGCAAGUGACGGUACCUGAUGAAUAUGCCACGGCUAACUACGUGCCAGCAGCCGCGGUAAUACGUAGGGGGCAAGCGUUAUCCGGAUUUAUUGGGUGUACAGGGCGGGUAGGCGGGAGGGCAAGUCAGUUGUGAAAUCUAGGGGCUCAACCGAUAGGUUGCAGUUGAAACUGUACUUCUUGAGUGCAGGAGAGGCGAGCGGAAUUCCGGGUGUAGCGGUGAAAUGCGUAGAUAUAAGGAAGAACACCAGUGGCGAAGGCAGAUUGCUGGACAGUAACUGACGCUGAGGCGCGAAAGCGUGGGGAGCAAACAGGAUUAGAUACCCUAGUAGUC
rnacentral:rRNA from 1 species